GCGCAGGAACCGGCGGAACCCUUCGGGGGGAAGCCGGCGGAAUGAGCGGCGGACGGGUGAGUAACACGUAAAGAACCUGCCCUCAGGUCUGGGAUAACCACGAGAAAUCGGGGCUAAUACCGGAUGGGUCAUCGGACCGCAUGGUCCGAGGAUGAAAGGCGCUCCGGCGUCGCCUGGGGAUGGCUUUGCGGUGCAUUAGCUAGUUGGUGGGGUAAUGGCCCACCAAGGCGACGAUGCAUAGCCGACCUGAGAGGGUGAUCGGCCACACUGGGACUGAGACACGGCCCAGACUCCUACGGGAGGCAGCAGUAGGGAAUCUUCCACAAUGGACGAAAGUCUGAUGGAGCAACGCCGCGUGAACGAUGAAGGCUUUCGGGUCGUAAAGUUCUGUUGUAAGGGAAGAACAAGUGCCGCAGGCAAUGGCGGCACCUUGACGGUACCUUGCGAGAAAGCCACGGCUAACUACGUGCCAGCAGCCGCGGUAAUACGUAGGUGGCAAGCGUUGUCCGGAAUUAUUGGGCGUAAAGCGCGCGCAGGCGGCCUCUUAAGUCUGAUGUGAAAGCCCCCGGCUCAACCGGGGAGGGCCAUUGGAAACUGGGAGGCUUGAGUAUAGGAGAGAAGAGUGGAAUUCCACGUGUAGCGGUGAAAUGCGUAGAGAUGUGGAGGAACACCAGUGGCGAAGGCGACUCUUUGGCCUAUAACUGA
rnacentral:rRNA from 1 species